rnacentral:rRNA from 1 species
GACGAACGCUGGCGGCGUGCUUAACACAUGCAAGUCGAACGGAAAGGCCCUGCUUUUGUGGGGUGCUCGAGUGGCGAACGGGUGAGUAACACGUGAGUAACCUGCCCUUGACUUUGGGAUAACUUCAGGAAACUGGGGCUAAUACCGGAUAGGAGCUCCUGCUGCAUGGUGGGGGUUGGAAAGUUUCGGCGGUUGGGGAUGGACUCGCGGCUUAUCAGCUUGUUGGUGGGGUAGUGGCUUACCAAGGCUUUGACGGGUAGCCGGCCUGAGAGGGUGACCGGCCAUAGGGGGACGGGGAAGGGCCCGAGUCCCACGGGGGGGGGAGGUGGGGAAAAUAGUGCAAAGGGGGGGGAAGCGUUGUGGAGCAGCCGCGUGGGGGGGGUGGGGGUUUGGGGUGUAAAACCCGUUUGCCCGUGAGGAGGAGUGUGUGAGGGGGAAAGGGGAAAAAAAACACGGGAAAAAUAUG